UCUUGAGGUUAUUUCUGUCUGUUGUAUCUGUCUGGUAGAAAUACUGUAAAAUGUGCUAUUGCACAUCUUCCCAGCUGCACGUUGACAUUGUUGAUAGCUUGAUAUUGGCCAUGAUGGUGAGAGGUGAAGCCAACUGGGCUUCUGGGUUGGGUGGGGACUUGGAGAACUUUCUGUCUAGCUAGAGGAUUGUAAAUGCACCAAUCAGCGCUCUAUGUCUAGCUAGAGGAUUGUAAAUGCGCCAAUCAGCAUUCUGUAAAAAUGGACCAGUCAGCACUCUGUAAAAUGGACCAAUCAGCACACUGUAAAAUGGACCAAUCAGCAGGACAUGGAUGGGGGCCAAAUAAGGGAAUAAAAGCUGGCCACCUGAGCCAGCAGCAGCAACCCGCUAGGGUCCACUUCAACGCCCGGAGAUCUUUGUUCUUUCGCUCUUAAUUAAUAAAUCUUGCUGCUGCUCAGUCUUUCGGUCCGCACCAACUUGAAGAGCUGUAGCAUUCACUGCCAGGGCCUGCGGCUUCAUUUCCUUAGUCAGCCAGACCACCAACCCACAGAGAGGAACAAACGACUGCAGACACGCCACCUUUAAGAACUGUAACACUCACUGCGAGGUCCGUGGCUUUAUUCUUUUUUUCUUUGAGAUGGAGUCUUGCUCUGUUGCCCAGGCUGGAAUGCAGUGGCCUGAUCUCAGCUCACUGCAACCUCCGCCUCCCGGAUUCACGCCAUUCUCCUGCCUCAGCCUCCCUAGUAGCUGGGACUACAGGCGCCCAGCUAAUUUUUUGUAUUUUUAGUAGAGACGGGGUUUCACCGUGUUAGCCAGGAUGGUCUCGAUCUUCUGACCUCGUGAUCCACCCGCCUCAGCCUCCCAAAGUGCUGGGAUUACAGGCGUGAGCCACCGCGCCCGGCUGGCUUCAUUCUUGAAGUCAGUGAGACCAAGAAUCCACCAGAAGAAAUAAAUUCUGGACACAAUGGGAGUGCUUAUACUGCAGAUACUGACAGAUGCUACAAAUCAGGCCUUUGUUUUGUUUUUGCUCUGGAGAUCUGGUUGUUAAACAUUUGCCAGCACUCUGUUCACCACUAGGUAGGAGGGCAGACAGAGCCAGGUAGAAUAUCCUAUGAAGUUAGCCACCUGACCCUUGUGGGAACAAGUUGGGAUCACGUUCAUGCAGCCAUUGUUAUUUUGCAUCAUAUGUGGACCUUCACACUAAGAUUAUAAAAAAAAUUCAUCCCUUGACUGUGUCCCUCAGGGCCCAGAGGACACUCCCUUUAAUGAGGUUUUAAGAAAUGUGCAGGCUGGGUGUGGUGGCUCAGGCCUGUAAUCCCAGCACUUUGGGAGGCCAAGGCGAGAGUAUCACUUGAGCCUAAGAGUUUGAGACCAGCCUGGGCAAUGUAGGGAGACCCCAUCUCUAUAAAAAAUUAAAAAAUUAGCCAGGCAUGGUGGUGCAUGCCUCUAGUCCCAGCUACUCAGGAGGUUGAAGUGGAAGGAUGGCUUGAGCCCAGGAGGUCAAGGCCACAGUGAGCUGUCAUCAUGACAGUGCACUCCAGCCUGCGUGACAGAGUAAGACCUUCUCUUACAAAAAAAAAAUGUGCGGAGGAGAGCUCCAUUUCCCUUUAGGAGCUUUGUAGCGGGUAUCCUCUGCCUGCUGGGGGUGACAAUAAGAAAUGCUACUCUUUAAAUUGCCUUCCUUAUUUCAGAGACCAAGUGACAGUGUUUAACACCAGAGACACAGUGGGCACAGUUACUUUCAUGGGCAGCAGGGCCACAGUGGUAAAAUGAAUGUUUUUGACUUGUGAGGGUCUUUGGUAGUAUCUCUAGGAAUAAAAUAGCCUACUAAAAUAUAUGUUGAUCUACAUAAUUAGAAAUUAUCAGGUAAGUAGAAUUCUAAUUUGGAUCACCAUAAUAGUCAUGGCCCUUCCCCCAGUUCUGGGAGCUGAACAAUUUUGCAGACCUGGAGCCCACUGACAUUGCUGCAAUAUAUACUAAAAAUCAUUCUUCAAGCCCUAAGAGACCCAUGGCCAUUGUCAUGGGAGAGGAAAAUACUUGGGACUGUUUCAGGAUCGCUGAACACUGACUCUCAACUGUUGCUAAUCUCUGAGACUGUAUAUGUUGGGUCAGGCUAUUUUAGGCUUUGGUAGUGUCAUCAAAAAUCCCAGUGGCAGACAACAAAAGUGUCGCUCUGUUGCCCAGGCUGGGGUGCAGUGGCAUGAUCUCGGCUCACUGCAACCUCCGACUCCCAAGUAAAAGCGAUUCUCCAGCCUUGGCCUCCUGAAUAGCUGGGAUUACAGGUGCCCCCCACCACACCUGGCUAAUUUUUGUAUUUUUAGUAGAGACAGUGUUUUACCAUGUUGGCCAGGCUGGUCUCGAACUCCUGACCUCAAGUGAUCCUCCCGCCUUGGCCUCCCAAAGUGUUGGGAUUGCAGGCGUGAGCCACCACGCCUGGCCAACAAAAGUUAACUUCUUAUUCUUGCUAUGUGUCCACUGCAGCUUGACUGAAGCUCUUUUCCAUUUUAUCUUCACUCCAGAUGGAGGCUGUGGAUCAGCCUCUGUUUGGAACAUUGCUUAGUCUUAUGGCAGAGGGAAAAUACAUCAUAACAAAGCACACAUCAGCUCUUAGAUCUUCUGUCUAAAGGUGACGCAUGUCACUUUUGUUCACAUUUCAUUUGCAAGUCACGUGGACAAGACUGCAGUUAAGGAAGUAUGAUUCCUCAGUAGGAAAGGAGCCAGAAUAUUUGGCAAACAAUGAUAUAUUCUACGUGAUUUCCUGUUAUCUCUCCAUUGCUUAUUAUCAAUAUUUAAUUGAUUGCUGCUGCUGUUUCAAAUAUGUUAUUCUUACUAGAGUAAAUCAAAAUGGCUUUUGACAUGUGGGAUGCAGCUAUUUAUGUAAAAUAUACUUUUUUUCCUGCUGUAUUGGUUACAGGCACUUUUGGAAGGUGUUUGCUUUCACAUGGCAGGGACAGCAGUACAUCUUCACGAUUUGAGCUCAGGUCUAUGGCAACUCUCCUGUUCUGUCAUAAGCAAGGCUUCAGGGGUCUUGAUAAUCACAACAUCCCAUAAAAUGCAGAACUAGUCCAUUAUAUGGAUAAUAUGUUGAGCAUGUGACAUUUCUAGGAGUUCAGUGGCCUGAGGCAUGUUGGUUAUCUCCUUCAAAUGAAAACAAAUUGCUGCAUCAUGUACUCCUAUGCUAGGAAAGAGUUAAAAAAAAAUACUUGACGGGUGUUUUAGGAGGUAAUAUACAGCACAUUUUACCAUGCUGCCCUGGCCCAUUUACGAAGGAAUUUGUAAGUCUGCCGGUUUUGAGUGGGGCCCAGAGCAAGAGAAGGGUUGCAGCAAAUUCAGACUGUUGUGCAAGAUGUUCUGUCAUAUAUGGCACAUAUGCCUGAAGUGUCCAAGGCAGAUAGAGAUACUGUAUGGAGCCUUCAACCAGCCCUGAAAGGAGAAUCACAGUGCAGACCCCUGGCGGUUUGCAGCAAAUCCAUGUUAUCUUUUGCAAAUAACUUUUCUCUCUUUGAAAAAUAGCUCUUCUUACUGGGUCCUAGCUAAAAACUGGACAUUUGAUUUUGGGACCUGAUCAUGAACUGGGUGUGCACCCCUCUUCCCCCUCUGGCUCUUAGGACCACCAUCGCAGGAGGGGGAGGCACCCCCCACGAGGCAGGGACUGAGAGCCAGCCCCUCAUCACCCCCUGGCUUAGGACCCCCAUUGCGGAUCCUAAGAACCUUAGGACCCAUCUGGAGGACUGUGGGUAUUAGGUGUCCAAGAAAAAAGCUCAAAUCUGCCGACGGCAGCUACCUUACUUCGGAUUUACUCUCCGACAGGGGUCCGAACGCAGCCCGGGAACAGAAAGAAAGCAGGUUAUUUACAAUCUACCG
rnacentral:lncRNA from 10 species